AGUAGCCUACGGGAGGCAGCAGUGGGGGAUAUUGCACAAUGGGGGGAACCCUGAUGCAGCGACGCCGCGUGGGUGAAGGAGCGUUUCGGCGCGUAAAGCCCUAUCGGCAGGGAAGAAGGAGGACGGUACCUGACUAAGAAGCCCCGGCUAACUACGUGCCAGCAGCCGCGGUAAUACGUAGGGGGCAAGCGUUAUCCGGAUUUACUGGGUGUAAAGGGAGCGUAGACGGCGAUGCAAGCCAGAUGUGAAAGCACGCGGCUCAACUGCGGUAGUGCAUUUGUAACUGUAUGGCUGGAGUGCAGGAG
rnacentral:rRNA from 1 species